rnacentral:rRNA from 1 species
CGGCGGACGGGUGAGUAAAGCUUAGGAAUCUGCCUAUUAGUGGGGGACAACAUUUCGAAAGGGAUGCUAAUACCGCAUACGUCCUACGGGAGAAAGCAGGGGAUCACUUGUGACCUUGCGCUAAUAGAUGAGCCUAAGUCGGAUUAGCUAGUUGGUGGGGUAAAGGCCUACCAAGGCGACGAUCUGUAGCGGGUCUGAGAGGAUGAUCCGCCACACUGGGACUGAGACACGGCCCAG